AUUGAACGCUGGCGGCAGGCCUAACACAUGCAAGUCGAACGAGUGGCGGACGGGUGAGUAAUGUCUGGGAAACUGCCUGAUGGAGGGGGAUAACUACUGGAAACGGUAGCUAAUACCGCAUACCAUCGGAUGUGCCCAGAUGGGAUUAGCUAGUAGGUGGGGUAACGGCUCACCUAGGCGACGAUCCCUAGAGGGUCUGAGAGGAUGACCAGCCACACGGGAAAUGAGACACGGUCCAGAUGCCUACGUGAGGCAGCAGGGGGGAAUAUUGCACAAUGGGAGCAAGCCUGAGGCAGCCAUGCCGGGUGGAUGAAGAAGGCCUUCGGGUUGUAAAGUACUUUCAGCGGGGAGGCGUUACCCGCAGAAGAAGCACCGGCGAACUCCGUGCCAGCAGCCGCGGUAAUA
rnacentral:rRNA from 1 species